rnacentral:rRNA from 1 species
UACGGAGGGUCAAGCGUUAUCCGGAUUCACUGGGUUUAAAGGGUGCGUAGGUGGGUCUGUAAGUCCGUGGUGAAAUCUCCGAGCUUAACUUGGAAACUGCCAUGGAUACUAUAGAUCUUGAAUACUGUGGAGGUCAGCGGAAUAUGUCAUGUAGCGGUGAAAUGCUUAGAUAUGACAUAGAACACCAAUUGCGAAGGCAGCUGGCUACACAAAUAUUGACACUGAUGCACGAAAGCGUGGGGAUCAAACAGG